ensembl:snRNA U6 U6 spliceosomal RNA
UUGCUUUGACAGCACAUAUACCAAAAUUGGAAAGAUACAGACAAGAUUAGUAUGGCCCUGGCACAAAAAUGACAUGCAAAUUUAUGAAGCAUUCCAUAUUUUU